GCUCCCAUAGCUCAGAUGGAUAGAGCGGCGCCCUCCUAAGGCGUAGAGCCAGGUUCGACUCCUGGUGGGAGCA
rnacentral:tRNA from 1 species